AUACGUAGGGAGCGAGCGUUGUCCGGAAUUACUGGGUGUAAAGGGAGCGUAGGCGGGAGUGCAAGUCAGAUGUGAAAUACAUGGGCUCAACCCAUGGGCUGCAUUUGAAACUGCAUUUCUUGAGUGCAGUAGAGGUAAGCGGAAUUCCUGGUGUAGCGGUGAAAUGCGUAGAUAUCAGGAGGAACACCGGUGGCGAAGGCGGCUUACUGGGCUUUUACUGACGCUGAGGCUCGAAAGCGGGGGGAGCAAACAGGAUUAGAUACCCUGGUAGUCCACGCUGUAAACGAUGAUUACUAUGUGUGGGGGGACUGACCCCUUCCGUGCCGCAGUUAACACAAUAAGUAAUCCGCCUGGGGAGUACGGCCGCAAGGUUGAAACUCAAAUGAAUUGACGGGG
rnacentral:rRNA from 1 species